GCGGCAGGCCUAACACAUGCAAGUCGAGCGCACUCUUCGGAGUGAGCGGCGGACGGGUUAGUAACGCGUGGGAACGUGCCCUUCUCUAAGGAAUAGCCACUGGAAACGGUGAGUAAUACCUUAUACGCCCUUCGGGGGAAAGAUUUAUCGGAGAAGGAUCGGCCCGCGUUAGAUUAGAUAGUUGGUGGGGUAACGGCCUACCAAGUCUACGAUCUAUAGCUGGUUUUAGAGGAUGAUCAGCAACACUGGGACUGAGACACGGCCCAGACUCCUACGGGAGGCAGCAGUGGGGAAUCUUGGACAAUGGGCGCAAGCCUGAUCCAGCCAUGCCGCGUGAGUGAUGAAGGCCUUAGGGUCGUAAAGCUCUUUCGCCAGAGAUGAUAAUGACAGUAUCUGGUAAAGAAACCCCGGCUAACUCCGUGCCAGCAGCCGCGGUAAUAC
rnacentral:rRNA from 1 species